rnacentral:lncRNA from 1 species
GGUUAAAAUUGGCAUUUUAUACUCUUUAUUAAAAGCACUGAUUACAGUUAUAUUUUCAAAAUAGAUAUUUUACAAAUAUUAAUGAUUGAUACUAGUAAUGCCCUCUCUGUAAUAGCCUCCCAAGUAACCCAUAGUUCUGUUCUCUAGCCAUUUCAAAUUACAGUAUUCUUUUUUUUAAGGACACAUUUAGUUUUGUACAUUUCAGCUUCAUAUUGUACUGGUUGUUAAUGAAAUUUUAUUUAUACUCUUAUAAAACCCGGUUCUGGACUAAAGAAAUAUUUUAGAAUUUAAAUUAUAUCCCAUAUUGCUUAUUCCAUACUUUAUUUAAUUAUUUUAUAACGAAUAAUGAUUAAUUGGGCAUGUACAAUUAUUGUGUAUGUUGUACUGUUCAUAGUACAAUAUCUGAUUUUGGCUUGACCAUACCAGAUAUGCUGGUUGAUUUUACUCGGACUGACCUAUCUAAUUUUUGUCUCUUUUUAUCUAAGGUAAAUAUUAGUUUUCUUGGAAGAUAGCAAGAAGUUGCUGGUCUAGGCAAAAUCGAAAUUGAUUGUCAUAGUGACACAUAUUUUCAUUGCCAACUUCCUUGGGCCACAAAUUUUGUUAUUUAUUUUUUUAUAAAAGGUUUUAUGGUACUUAUAAAAAAAAGUUAAGUUAUUUUGUUAUAUAUUUCGAUUGGCAAUACACUUUGUGCGUGAUUGCUUAAAUACGGGUUUGACCUCUGCGGUCGUUCCUUUUCCCAGACCGCCGUCAUGAAGUGAAGAGUGCUUUAGUUCUUUUUGAAAUUCGUGUGAAUUUUACCCAUAUGGGGAUAUAAUUGACUAAAUGUGGUGAUAGUAAAUCAACUUUUUGGGCGUAAUGCUAUAAUUUGUUGUUUUGUUGAAUUUACUGGCCUUUAUGGCGAUUUAAAACCUAAUAAUUUUUCACGUGCCCUCGAACAUCGGCAAAAUAGCGGUUCUGAUUGGCAUUGGCAGGGGACAAUUUAAUUAGCAAAGCUACAUAACAUGGAUUUUGGACGGAUUUUUUUUGUACGGACCUGAUUUUUUUCAUGCCACAUGGUGCUUUCGUUUUGGGGUUAUGUACUCUAUUGGCUCUAAUCUAGAAGGAGAUUUUAAGCAACUGUGAGCUAACGUCUAACCUAGACCACUACCAGAGCUUGGCGUAUUGUGAAGUGGAAGAGGUGAAACUUGGAAGCCUGCAGUUUUUCUUGACUGGGAAUUGGAUGUCUGGGAGAGUCUCGAAUAUGAAGUAGUCUGCUGUGUAUGGAGCUAAGUGACAGAACAUAACAUUUUUUUUUUUAUUCACUUGUUUUAUUUUAUUUUUAUUAUCACGACUUUUAUCUUUUGAGUUGAGAUACAUACAUAAGCUUAUUUAAAAUUUUAUUGACAUUAUUUAAUCGAUGCUAUUUUAUUAUUGAAUAUUACUGAUAUGAGUACAUAUAUAUGUGACAAGUGACUCCUGUGAGGUAAGACGCAGCCGGCUUCGUAGUACUACGAGUAUAUACUUGGGUUAUAUUAUUUAUUUUCAGACUACUCCUAAGAUGUCAAAUUUUCUCAGAUUAGCUAGUAAAUAUUAGAGUAAACUAAUAAAAGGGAAAUUUUAAGUGGGGAAGCUUCAACAGUUAGGGUUGUUAUUUUUUUUUUGCUUAGGUCAAUGUCCGUGGCGGGAUAUACCGGGCCAUGUAAGUUAUUAGUUUAAUUGAAUUGAAGCUUCAUUCCCCAAAAGGUUUGGGUGUAACAUAGAUUAUUUUAUUUUGACAACCACACUUUGAUUGUGUAUUUUUUGUGUGAUGUUGUGGUUCCUUAUUCCCAACUUAAAUAAUUAUUCCUCUUAACGAUAAAUAACAUAACAUAAUUCUCUGUGAUAAUCAAGACUUAAAUAAAUUGUUAUUUUCUGUUGUUAA